rnacentral:snRNA from 1 species
CUGCUUGUUUCAGUAGCACACAUUAAAUUGGAAUAAAACACAGCAGAUUAGCAUGGUCCCUAUGCAAAGAUGAAACACAAAUUAACGAAGCAUUCCAUAUUUUU